rnacentral:rRNA from 1 species
UGGGCUCAGAUUUGAACGCUGGCGGCAGGCCCUAACACAUGCAGUCGAGCGGAUGAAGAGGAGCUUGCUUCCUGGAUUCAGCGGCGGACGGGUGAGUAAUGCCUAGGAAUCUGCCUGGUAGUGGGGGACAACGUUUCGAAAGGAACGCUAAUACCGCAUACGUCCUACGGGAGAAAGCAGGGGACCUUCGGGGCCUUGCGCUAUCAAGAUGAGCCUAGGUCGGAUUAGCUAGUUUGGUGAGGUAAAUGGCUCACCAAGGCGACGAUCCGUAACUGGUCUGAGAGGAUGAUCAGUCACACUGGAACUGAGACACGGUCCAGACUCCUACGGGAGGCAGCAGUGGGGAAUAUUGGACAAUGGGCGAAAGCCUGAUCCAGCCAUGCCGCGUGUGUGAAGAAGGUCUUCGGAUUGUAAAGCACUUUAAGUUGGGAGGAAGGGUUGUAGAUUAAUACUCUGCAAUUUUGACGUUACCGACAGAAUAAGCACCGGCUAACUCUGUGCCAGCAGCCGCGGUAAUACAGAGGGUGCAAGCGUUAAUCGGAAUUACUGGGCGUAAAGCGCGCGUAGGUGGUUUGUUAAGUUGGAUGUGAAAUCCCCGGGCUCAACCUGGGAACUGCAUCCAAAACUGGCAAGCUAGAGUAUGGUAGAGGGUGGUGGAAUUUCCUGUGUAGCGGUGAAAUGCGUAGAUAUAGGAAGGAACACCAGUGGCGAAGGCGACCACCUGGACUGAUACUGACACUGAGGUGCGAAAGCGUGGGGAGCAAACAGAAUUAGAUACCCUGGUAGUCCACGCCGUAAACGAUGUCAACUAUCCGUUGGGAGCCUUGAGCUCUUAGUGGCGCAGCUAACGCAUUAAUUUGAAAGCCAAGGGGGC